UGCACGGCGCACGCCCACAAUGCACCGCGACGUCGCGCCUUGGAAAAAGAAAGCGCCGCAGUCCUCUACGGAAAUGUCCGAAGGAGCUCUAGCGGCCUUUUCCGGAGAUACCCGAAAACGGGCGAGGACCGCUAAGCGGGCGCCUUAGCGGGAAAAGCCGAAUUGCUUCGGGGCGAGCGGCGUGUUACGGAAAUGCCCGAGCAGGCGAAAGAAGUCGUGGAAACAGGAAGGAGAGCUCCUGAAAAACGCGGAACUGGGCAACGCGUGCGUGGAUGGAGCAGAGCUCAUAGGGCAGGCGGGGAGAUGGCGGAAGAGGCCGGCAUCCGCGCUGCGCUCUUUUUACGAGCUUCCCAACUGCAUUACAGGGACCUCUCUUCGAAAAACACAGUUGCUGUGGGUCCAGAAAAAUGCAUGUGUUGAUUGGCUUCUCUGCAAACAAGAGAGAAGCCGAACAUCUGUCAGAUUGGGAGAGCAUCUGGAUAAAAAUUUCAGCAGACGUACACAACAGGUGGUGAUAUAGGAAGCAAUUGUUUUAUCUUUUAGAAAGUGUUGGAAAAAUACUCACGAGGCUGCCGAAACACUCAUUUGAAAAAGAGGAAAUGCUUCUUUUAAAAGGUCAGGGGCAAAGUCGCUUCAGUAGCAACUUUGGGCGUUGCGCAUUGUACUUAUAUGGAAUAAUCUGGAUGAUGUGACUGUGCAACCUGACACACUAGCAAAUGACAAUACUAGCUUUACUGCUAAUGAGGUGAAGUGUAGAAGAGAAAGAUAAAAAUAAUGAAAAGUGAAA